CGCUAGGUGACUGAAAGAAAGUAAUGGUCUCUUAAACCAACCCAUAGUAGUCUUCGCCUACUCCCAGCGA